CCGGGCCGCGGGCCCCACACAGGCAGAGCGGGGCCCUGCUGCAGGGUGCUCCCUCCCGAAGGAGCCGCGCUGGGCCAGGUUCCCCUUGGAGCCGGGUGUCCCCCGGUGCCUCAGGUCCCCCAGCCGGGUCUGGGGCCGCCUCAGUCCCCGCUGGGUGCCCGGGCAUGGCCAUGCUGGGCCUGGGCCCUCAGGAGGGCCGGGGUAACGUCGCCUUGGGAGGGCGAAUGUUACAAAACAGGUAGGACUGUCUUUGAUACUGUGCUCCUUCACAUCAAGAAACUCAGCGCAGGUGGAGCUGUGGGAAGCGGCGCCGCUGCCCUGGGUGGCUUCAGAUGUCCUGGGACGUUCCGGAGUGUCACCUGCUGUCCCGACGCUUGUGGCAGGGAGAUGAAGCCUGAGAAACUUGUAAAGAACUGAAGAUGAGAGACAGAAGACACUUUGCAGCUUUAUAUAGAUCUUUUGCAUUUCCUGUGGGAUUUUAUGUGAAUUUUCCUGCUCUCUGUGGUGCAGGUGAUAAUGGGGAAGGAAAGAGUGGUGGCAGAAAUUCGCAUAAGGCAGGAGAAUACAUUUGAGGAGGCUUGAACUUCAAAGAGGUUUUCCAGUAGCUGAUAGAAUCUGUGUUCGCAAUCGGAAUAUGCUAUGUGUGGUACGGAUUGCUUUUACUCGGGGAUAAAAGGGGAUUAAACAUUCUCAUGAAAGCUGAAUGCUGCUUGCUCGGAGGAAAGGAAAAGGAAACACUCUUCAUCGCAUUUCAGCCUCCACAUGUAUCUAAGUGAAUGUUUGUCACGAAGAGAAGGCAUCAGUCACCAGUUUUUUUUGUACUGGGAGGCAGCCUGGGAUAAAUAACAAAUCCUGUAAUUAGGAGCCAAUAGAUUCUAAUUGACUUAUGUUAGUCCUCGAGCUGAAAUCUAGCCUUUCUCUCUUGUCAUGGCACGGCGCAUCCUUUGUUUGAUGAACACUGAAGGGAAAUCGAGUGAGGACCAGAGUCUGUCCUGAAUUGCGCUGACAGGAGCUGAAGAGAACAGAAUUCAGUCUAGGAAUCCAGUGUUCGGGAUUUGACCAUGAAAAAGGUCAGAUUAGAAGACAAAUUUGGUGUUCCAUCGCCCUGUUGCAAUCAGCAUCAACAUACGUGAUACGUGUAUAUAUAUGUGCUGAACUGAGUUCUCCAAUCCCCUGGUGUUUAUUUUAUUUGUAAUGAAUAGUCUUUGUUCAAAAGGAAGAAAGAUCAAAAUUUAUUUUGAAAGUGUGGUUAGUACCUUCCGUUGAUGUGCGUACAUGCAUAUACGUGUACCGAAUUCACAAUUUCCAGCCUCUGCUUCCCAAACGCUUGGCCCCACUCUGCCAUUGACGUUAGCUGUAAAAGCCAUAAUGUAAUCCUCAAAAAUUUGGAAAAGUUUAUGUGUCUUUUCACAUCUUUAAAAGUAACUCUGUUCACUUUCUCAAAAAGCUGGAAUUUGCCUCCUCAGCAAAGCUGGAUUGUUUUGAAAUCAUGGAAGGCAUUUUUUUGAAGACAAAAAAACUCAUCCGUGAGCUUUGAACUCGGUGAAAUUCACCGUGAUUUGUAGAAUAUCUCUACCUUGAGUUUUGGUGUAAAGUUUCACCAAGGAACUGAAUAUCGAGCAACAAUAUAUAGAAAAUUACAUAAGCUAUUGCCAGACAAGAUAUUGCAGCGAUACCAAAAAAAUCCUUCUCCAGUUACUGCUUUCCUGAUCCACUUGGCAUGAAAUGUUAACUUGACUUCUACUUACUAUUAUCAUAAAAACCACAGGGGUUUCUUCUUGCUGCUACUUGUUUUGUCAAGGAUCCAGUAAUUGGUAACAUGUGAAUUAACAUUUUGCAGGAAGAGAAGAACAGAGCGCACAAACAACGAUGAGGAGUGGCGUUCUGAAAAGGCACUUCAGCAUUUAAAUCUACGGCAAGCGUCGGGGCUAGAAAACCACAAUCUUUAAGAAGCAAUAGACUUACACAUCAAAUAGCUUGCAUUUCUCCUGCUGGCAACCACCACAACUGAAAUGGAAACGUGAUGAAAAAUUAAUAGUCAUUACAGAUCCUUUUAUGCAAUGCUUAUAUUUUUGUCUCUGACCAUUAUCCUCUGGGCUCAGCAGAACAACAGCGGUGUAUUUAAGCGGCUUCGUUAAUGCCAGAGUAAUAAUUACCUGCUGCAGAAGUGACUAUCGCAUCAGGGAUUUUUAUACCAGAACUGCGGCAGCAUUCCAGUUCUGAACUCAGGAGCACCAUUUGUAAAGGCCAAUCUGCCCAGGACUCAGCUAGGAAAGUCUGAGUGCGCUUUAUAAAUCACCUGUAAAGCUACAGCCUGUGUCAACAGCGUGAAGUUUUCCCCUGCACCCACUCCCCGUUGCAUGCGGAGAAAAGACCAGUAGAGAUCUCGGUGUGCAGUGGUGCAGUGCGUCUGUUCAUCUGUUCAACCCUCCCGAGAGACAAGGGACGAGCAGAACGUGUCGGAAUUCCUUCUGCGCAGGAGAGCUGAGCUGGGGGUAAUAAUUUACUGCAGAUACAGACCGACAAUAAAUUAGUACGCCCCCAAGAGUCUGGAAGAAACAGAGGAGGAGCAGUGACUCAUUUCUGAGUCAUAGAGCCUCCCCGGAUUUAUCCUGGGAUGAUGUACUGUGUGCACCACUCCUUGAUCUGGUCUGUCUCGAAAGGACAACCGAGCCCUCA